GCCGAUAUAGCUCAGUUGGUAGAGCAGCGUAUUCGUAAUGCGAAGGUCGUAGGUUCGACUCCUAUUAUCGGCACCA
rnacentral:tRNA from 2 species